rnacentral:rRNA from 1 species
UGGGGAAUAUUGCACAAUGGGCGCAAGCCUGAUGCAGCCAUGCCGCGUGUAUGAAGAAGGCCUUCGGGUUGUAAAGUACUUUCAGCGGGGAGGAAGGGAGUAAAGUUAAUACCUUUGCUCAUUGACGUUACCCGCAGAAGAAGCACCGGCUAACUCCGUGCCAGCAGCCGCGGUAAUACGGAGGGUGCAAGCGUUAAUCGGAAUUACUGGGCGUAAAGCGCACGCAGGCGGUUUGUUAAGUCAGAUGUGAAAUCCCCGGGCUCAACCUGGGAACUGCUGCUGAUACUGGCAAGCUUGAGUCUCGUAGAGGGGGGUAGAAUUCCAGGUGUAGCGGUGAAAUGCGUAGAGAUCUGGAGGAAUACCGGUGGCGAAGGCGGCCCCCUGGACGAAGACUGACGCUCAGGUGCGAAAGCGUGGGGAGCAAACAGG